GCGCGCCCCAGCAAUCUAAGCAGAUGGCCGCACUGUCGGGAACAUCUGGAGGUCGCCGGAGUACGUGCCUGUAGUGAAAGAGGUUCAGGGACUACCGGGAGCAAGAAACCAAGAAUCUGAAGCAGAGAAAGACUGGCUGAAAGACGAACCCACAGAGAAGAGAGAGCCCGGCUCGGGCAGAAAAGCUGGCAGGAGAGGAGAGAGAAAGUCAACAGAUUGAGUUUUUCUUUUAGGAGGAAACCAUUGGCUUCUGGUUAGAGUUCUAAGAAGGGAAACUGGCGUGUGAGUAGGCAGCAGUUUCAGUCUAUUCCCCCUGCUGUAGCUCUUGGGCUCUCACCCCUCUUUAUG
rnacentral:lncRNA from 1 species